rnacentral:misc_RNA from 1 species
CAUCUAGGCUGAUUCUCACAUGGGUUCUUCUAUUCCUAUACUUAUUUUCAUCUUUGUUGCUAUUUCCUUUAUAGAUUUCAUUGUAAACAUUAACAUGAGUGAGUAGUUUGUUAAGAUUUCAGAGUUUGGAUGUAAUACUCUGUUUUUAACAUGGUAUUGAUCUAAUUUAAUUUAAUGUAUUGGGUAUUUAUGCUUUGAUUCAUUUCUUUGUGCCUUAUUUAUGUUUUAGUUUAGUUUCCUUUAUUGCCAUUAUUUUGCACUUAACUAAGUUUUUCUUGUCUUUUCGGGUUAAUUUCAGAUAUAAUAUAGCGUUGGAUAAGAGUAUUAGCUAUUCUGGAAAUCAUUGGAGUAAUGAAAGAGAAGUGGAAGAAAAAUCU